rnacentral:lncRNA from 1 species
AAAAAUCAAUCAUCAGCGACCAUUUGGCACAAUGCACUUUGUGUGGUCUACGCCAGACCACUAAAUACCAGGUAACAACUAAAUGUGGUACUGGCUGAAGUGAGUUCUUUGCAAAGAUAUGAUUGCACUGCACAACACUGACCCAAUGAGAGUAAAUUAGGCAGUAUUUACAACACAGUACCUGCACAGUAAUGGCUUUUCAUUCCCUUUACAUAGGAUCUGUCUACCAUGUAGCACAUUGCUCCAUGUCCAAGAUCCAUCAGUAAUGCAGGAGGAGAUCCUGUGGUAAUGCAGAAGAGUCAACCAUGCAGUAGCUCAAGAUGUCCUGUGUUCAGCCUACUAGAGGAAACAAUGAAGAUGAGCUCGGAGUGGGGAGCAAUGCUGGCCUCGUGCUCCCAACUGGGCCGAAGGAGCAAUGGGAGGACCCAGCCUCAGUCUGAGGGCAGAAGGUUGGUUGAAAUGAGAAUUGACAGAAUCAAUAUCUGCUGGAGAUGCAGAGAAGUUAAUAGAAGAGUUAAAAGUGCAGGGAUUUUGAAGACAGGAGAGAGGUGCUCUGUUUUCCAGCCAAUUGCCUUACGUUUCCACUGCAUUUGAGUUAUACUCCUCAAAAACCUAUCUCCAAAAGAGGCUAAGAAUUUUUUUUUUUGGCUGUGCAAGGGAAAGUGACCAACUGGCUUCAAAAUAAUGGCUCCGUAUAUCUCUUCUGAGAUGUAUGUCUAGAUGUAUGCCAGUAUUGACUGAAAAGUGAUUAAACAGCAUCCAGCCUGCAACAAUUGCUGAAGCUGCAACUCACCCACCAGGAGCUGCUCAGAUCCUCCCUGCACUCUAUUAUGCUCAGAGCAGAUUCUUGCUCCUCCAAGCAGUGAGGUGAGCCCUAGGUAAGGAGCCGGCCGCUGCAAGUGGAGAACAUGCCUGGACAGAAUAAAGGUGAAUAUUACAUAUAUAGAUGUCCCGAG